CACAGAUGCUGUUUCCUUUGCCCAGCACACCUGUCACUCACCUCAACCCUUUCUCUCUUUUCCCCAUCUUUCUGUGGCUAGCUCCUCCUCAUUCUUUAGGUCUCAGUGUAGAUAGCACCACUAUCAGGAAGGAGUCCAGACACUGCCAGGCCUAAGAAAUGUAAAUUAAAUGCUCUCAAGGGAUGAGAGACACUGGAAGCUGGGACGCUCUUGGAACUCUGUUGCCAUCAUCAAGGCUUCCAGAUACAGCCCUCUAGGUCAUCCAGAGGUGCCAGCCAGCCCUCACCAGUGGUCAGCUUUUCCUCAGUGGAGUGGUAGGUGAGCCAGUGGAGCUUGCUCUGAAGAUACUAGAGGGAGCCAAAGCUGUCUGGCCCUUCAGUGUGACUCAGUUUCCAGACUCUUUCUCUUUAGACAUAAAUGAAGAACAAGUCAACCUUGAUGCCUUUGAGGGUUGGUUCAGCGGAUGAUGUGUUGUGGGGUUUUCCCACAGGUCAGCAGUCCAACUACCAGGGCCAGAGCCCCAUCAAAGAAUCUUCAGUGCCAGCCAGAAAGAAUGAUGAACUCCUCGUGUAAAGGGAGUUUGGGGCAACCAGUCAAACCAUGGCCUCAUGGGAAGCAGCUGACUAGGCAAUGAGAGAGGAAUACAAAAGACAAGGCACUGCGAAGCCAAGUCUGGUUGGGGAGAAGAAACCAAUAUGCCUGAAACAGGGAACCAGAAAGGACUCAGACAAAACUGCUGACAAGUAUGGGGUUUCUUGGGGUAGGUGGUGAAAAUAUUCCAAAAUAAGAUUAUAGCGAUGUUUUAAUAAUCCCCUGGAUAUAAUAAAAAAACAUCGAAUUGUACACUUCAAAUGAGUGAACUGUGUGGUAUGUGAAUUAUAUAUCUCAAUAAAGAUGUUUUAAAA
rnacentral:lncRNA from 1 species